GACGAACGCUGGCGGCGUGCUUAACACAUGCAAGUCGAACGGAAAGGCCCUUCUUUUGUGGGGUGCUCGAGUUGCGAACGGGUGAGUAACACGUUAGUAACCUGCCCUUGACUUUGGGAUAACUUCAGUAAACUUGGGCUAAUACCGGAUAGGAGCUCCUGCUGCAUGGUGGGGGUUGGAAAGUUUCGGCGGUUGGGGAUGGACUCGCGGCUUAUCAGCUUGUUGGUGGGGUAGUGGAUUACCAAGGCUUUGACGGGUAGCCGGCCUGAGAGGGUGACCGGCCACAUUAGGACGGAGAUGAGACACAGACCACAACGGGAGGCAGGGGAGGAGAAUAUUGCACAAUGGGCGGAAGCAUGAUGCAACAACGCCGCGUGGGGGAUGACGGGCUGCGGGUUGUAAACCGCUGUCGCCUGUGACGGAGAGUGAGUGACGGUAAUGGGUAAAGAAGCACCGGCUAACUACGUG
rnacentral:rRNA from 1 species